UGUACAGCGAUACUGGGAUGGGACUUCGAGCUCUCUUUCAGUUUCACUUUUGGGCUUGCGUAUGGACUACUGCCACGCUGGCUGGCUAGGUCACUCUGGAAGUCUCUGGGGAAGACAGGAAAGUCAAACAGACACCAUCUCUCUGACCUAACAGCUUGCCACGUGGAAACAAAAUGACCUUCUUUCUCUCAAAGACUUUUCCAGAAACAUCCAGCCACCAGAAUAUCUGACAAUGAUAUUUUUGACCUGUGACGAUGCCAAGUUUUAAUCAUUGUAGUACAGUACUGUACUACAGCACUACGUGGUAGAACAUUGGUGUCAUUUUCCUACUAUUUUUGAUUAGCAAGUCCACUUUUUUUUCCGAAUUCCUCUUGAGUGACUGGUCAUUUCUGCACUGCAAAGCUAUGCUUACUCAUCACUGAGUCAGCAAUGGGGAGAUGACUUCAAACAGUGCAGGCACACUGGUCUGAGGUUCAUCUCGGAUAUUAAUUAUAUCAUGCGAUUUUCAGGAUGUCAUACUCAUUACAGUAUGACAAUAGAAGAGCCCGAGAAAGCUUCUGGUUGCCCAAAGUGGCAGACCUAAAGUGCAUGACCAACUGUCUUAACUUCAUUCAUUCUCUUUUUCUUCUAUUUCUAUUUACUGGGGGAAAUCCAUGACGUGUAAGAAUACUGUUUGCAAUUUGAUUCUUAAUUCUGUCAAAGGGAUGUACAUUAAUCACUAAUACUCAUUGAUCAUUUGCUAUAUAUCAUUCUACCUUCCAAUACCUUUGGAUGGAUACCACCAUUUGAUUUUUAUAGGCAUUACAUUCCACCUUAUGUCACAUAUUGAGAAACCACCACUGAGACAACUAGAAAAUUGCCCAGAGUCACAGCACUAGGAAAAAAAGAGAUCAAAUGCUCUUAGCCACUAGUAGAUUAAACUUACAUCAGGCACAGUAUAAAACUAUCCCACAUUUAAUCAUUUUUUCUAUUGUCAUAUUUAUUAAAUUAUCCCUUUAUACAAGGUACUAUGCCAUCUUUUGAGUUCACAGAGUGGAAAAGAACCUAUGUUCAAGAAUUUUAUUAUUUAUACAAUGUUCUGUGAUAGACAUAAAUAGAUUAAUUAUGGGGCUCAUUUAAUAAUAAACAAAGAGAAACAGUAAAUCUUAAAUAUUUGCUGCAUGUAUUUGUUCAUGGCAUCUUUUUUUUGUAACAUAAACUACAUAUGUAUGAUCUAAUAUAUUAUUUUUUAUCCACCUGCCUGAUUCAAUAAUAUUUAAUAGAAAAGAAGCAAUAUUUUCUUUGCCCAGAUGGAUGAGAAACUCCAGAUAAAUUAUUAGUCCCUGUUCAUAUUCCCCCAUAAAAGAAUUCAUAUUUUUUUCUCACCUGGACAGUGUGAUAUUCACUUCUGUGUGGAUGAGAUGAAGCUGUCAAAUCCUUCUUCUCUCAAGGCUGCUCCUGAUUUGAUGUUCUGAGUGGGCAUUCAGAAAUCCGAUAUAUUUGGACACCACUUCAGAAUCACCUUGGCUGAGCUGUUCUGUGUGCCUGUUAAAACAAACCUAAGCAGUGGCCUUUAUUAUGAGCACUAACCCACAUGUGAGUAGGAGACUGGGUCAGACUAAAGAGGUUUACUAUCCUACAAUAUCAGUUUUAAUCUUUGAAAGGGAUGGAAAAUUGGAUUUUCUCUGGUAAAAUACAAGUUAAACUGAAAAAAGAAAACUCUUGCUGACUAGCUAUACUUGCACAGUGUCAGGGAAUGGGCCUGAACCAAAAUACACUGGAUGGUCUGAUUCACCCGAGGCAGGUGACUAGUAGAUAAGCCCAGUGUCCACCUCACUUAAAAAGAGGGAAUCCAAACUGCUGACUUUUACUGCCCAAACUGCUACAGAUGUGUCAUCUCUGCAAGUUUCUCACAUAGUUGUUGUUUAUUUCUGUGACAUUUUAGCAGCUCUAUGUAAUCUUACUAUCUAAAUGCCUUCUUUUAAAAAUAAAACCAUCACUUAUAUGAAAUUAU